CAUCAGACACAGCAGGGAUGGAUCGGCUGGCGGGAAUUACUGAACCAACCAACAGUCCUGGACAACUUGACGGCUUUUUUGCGUGGCUUUUGUACAGGACAAAAAAUGACAUAGUUGAAAGCCUGGAUAGGAUCAGCCGUAUCAGCGAUAUCACUCCCAGAGACUUCGCUCCGGAGGCUCCAGCAUGCUCGCUGCUCUAAUGAAACCAUCCAUGUAUUCUAUCCUUCAUUCCACCGGAGUCUGUGUAAAGUGCCAAUCAGAUUUCUGUGGUUUGAAGAGUAAAACACAUGGAAUAUAUCACCUGGAGAGAGUUUUCCUAAGAACAACGUCACAUUAAAGAAGGUUUUAUUGGUUGAAACUUUUCAAAUAAAGGUGUAUAUGACAGAAGAUCAA